AACGGGCACUAUUUUGCCCGUUACGAAAACUAUGUUAUUUGUAAUGGGCAAGAUAAAGCCCGUUACGAAUAAGUAUUAGUUGUAACGGACAAGAUAGUGCCCGUUACAAAUAUGUGAAUAGGGUCCAGCUGAUGACAAAGGCCCAUUCUUAUAAUUAGGGUUUCACAUUUCACUCUCCUUAAGCCGUCAUACCCCAUAUUCACACAUUUCACUCUCUUCCUUAGCCGUCACAUUUCACUCUCUCUUUUCCUCACUCAAUUUCUCUCUUCUCAUCACUCAAUCUCCUCCAUUUUUAUUUCCUCUCUGUGGAUAUAGGAUAUUCUCCUCACUCAAAUGAAGAAGGGAAGAAGGAAUAAGGACCUUCUCUGUGGAUUAAGCUCGAUUGUGCAGAAGAGGUUGAUAAUCUGAAGAAAAUCGACGCCGAUAAGAAGAAAAUCCGACGAUCAUCCGCCAGAUCUCUGCAAAGUGGCGGCAGUGAUACUCCUGCUUUGGUUUCGCCUAUUUCUUCUCCUUUUUUUCUUGCAUUUAUGUCAAAUGUUUGAUAAUUUUUUGUUUGAAGAUUUAGGCUUUAAACUCACAGAUCUUUAAUUUCUUAUUUUAAUUUAUCACAUUUUGGAUGAUUAAUUUCUUGAUGAUGUUUCUGUUUACGGAAUUAUUAUCGGUUGAUGAUUUUAUCUUUUUUGGCUGAUGAAUUAUUUAAUUUUGGUGGUAAUUUUGUUAUGAAUUGGGUUUUAAUUGUUGAGUUUGAAUUCUUUUAAUUGUUGAAUUUUAAUUGUGAAGGUACGACAACGAGUUUGCGAAAAUCCUGUCUAAGGAUGCCUUGCAAUUUGUUGUUGAGUUACAAAGGGAGUUUAGGAGCCAUAUUAAGUAUGUUAUGGAGUGUAUGAAGGAGGCUAAGGCUAAGUAUAAUAGCGGGGCGUUACCGGGGUUCGAUCCUACGACUAGGAUGAUCAGGGAAAGUGAUUGGGUGUGUGAUGCAUCACCUCCUGCGGUUGCUGAUAGGAGGGUUGAGAUUAUGGGUCCAAAUGAGAGAAAGAUUGUCAUUUAUGCUCUUAAUUCUGGUGCUAAAGUUUUUAUGAUUGGUGAGAGACCGGAUAUUGGAUGGUCUAGUGGUUUUUGCUGAUGAUAGUAAUAUGCAUAGUAUGGAGUUCUUUGAUGAGGUGCAGAAAGUGAACAAUAUUGGGGCUCUUUCUGUUGGAAUUAUUGUGCAUUCAGGUGAUCCUAACGAGCCUUUGCGAAUGGAGAAGAUAGAGAAUGACGAGAGUUCGUUGCCUAUCCAGGGUCCAGCAUGUAAUUCAUUGGACAGUUUAGUAGGUUGGCACACUUUUGAUACAAGUCCUUAUGUAGAGAAGAGCUCGGUUCACAUUGGAGACAUUUGGACUGUUUUACCAAGGAAGGUUGAGUGGGCUGGGUUUGUGUUAAAUUCAAGGUUGCUUUGGAAGGAUAAUGUUGAUGAUAAGCUAGAAUGGAUGAAGGAUUUGGAUGUUUAAGCUGAUGAUAGCGUAGAAAGCCCCCUUUCACUACUAAAAUAUCCCUCUAUAGUAGAACCUCUUGGAAGCUGUGGCCGCAAGGUUUUUAUUUGGUGGUUUUGCGUAGAAGCUCGAGCUGACAGCAAAUUUCCUCCUGGGAGGCAGGAAAGUUCUAUUGAUGUUGCUGAAGACAGAGACACUGGUGACGAAGAAAUCAAGAAUGGCAGUAUUAAUCCUUUUCAUGUUGAGGAUAGAGAUAGAGAAAUGUCCGAGACAUCAUGUACCAGAAGAUUUACUAUGGCUCAAGAAACAAGAUGUACUCAUGAAGUAGAAGAUUUGAGCAUAUGUGGAAAGGAGACUCCGAAAACUACUAAUCAUGAAAAGCUUGAUGAAGUUGAACAAGAAUAUUGCCAACAAAGUAAUUGGCAGCAUACUAUUUCUUGAACUUUUGACCUUAUUGUCUUCAUUUAAGAAGUCUCUAACUUAUUUUUUGAAAUUUUACUUUAAUCUAUGUAGCUAUGUCUGUUGGUUCAAUCAAGAAGAAUUUUAUCUGAAAUCCAAUUUGGUGUUUAUGUUAUGUUUGAUAAUAUGUUUGUGGCAUGAAAUAUUUGGAUUUGUUAUAAAUUAUUGUAAUAAUUUGGGUGGUAAA